UAACACAUAUUUGCUCCCCUUCAACCAAGACCUAUAGGGAGGAUAAAUUACGUCUUUUUACCUGCAAGUGAGGGAUUUGCAGGAAUAAGUUUCGCA
rnacentral:ncRNA from 1 species